GACGAACGCUGGCGGCGUGCCUAACACAUGCAAGUGGAGCGACGAACCAGGGCUUCGGCCUGGGGCAAGGCCGCGAACGGGUGAGUAACACGUGGGUAACCUGCCCUGAUGAUUGGGACAACCCGAGGAAACUCGGGCUAAUACCGAAUGUGCCCUCCGGCCUCAAGGCCGCUGGGGAAAGGAAGCUUCGGCCUCCGCAUCGGGAUGGGCCCGCGGCCCAUUAGCUUGUUGGUGAGGUAACGGCUCACCAAGGCGACGAUGGGUAGCUGGUCUGAGAGGACGAUCAGCCACACUGGGACUGAGACACGGCCCAGACUCCUACGGGAGGCAGCAGUGGGGAAUCUUGCGCAAUGCGCGAAAGCGUGACGCAGCAACGCCGCGUGGGGGAAGAAGGCCU
rnacentral:rRNA from 1 species